GUGGGGAAUAUUGGACAAUGGGCGAAAGCCUGAUCCAGCCAUGCCGCGUGUGUGAAGAAGGUCUUCGGAUUGUAAAGCACUUUAAGUUGGGAGGAAGGGCAUUAACCUAAUACGUUAGUGUUUUGACGUUACCGACAGAAUAAGCACCGGCUAACUUCGUGCCAGCAGCCGCGGUAAUACGAAGGGUGCAAGCGUUAAUCGGAAUUACUGGGCGUAAAGCGCGCGUAGGUGGUUCGUUAAGUUGGAUGUGAAAGCCCCGGGCUCAACCUGGGAACUGCAUCCAAAACUGGCGAGCUAGAGUACGGUAGAGGGUGGUGGAAUUUCCUGUGUAGCGGUGAAAUGCGUAGAUAUAGGAAGGAACACCAGUGGCGAAGGCGAUCACCUGGACUGAUACUGACACUGAGGUGCGAAAGCGUGGGGAGCAAACAGGAUUAGAAACCCCAGUAGUCC
rnacentral:rRNA from 1 species